AAUCUAACAAUUAUGAGAAUGCCACUUGGAUUACUUAAAAUGUGUACUCUCCUACAAGGUGCUACUAACUCAGUUGCACAUAUGAUGAAUGGGAUGAAUAAGGUAUUAAGAGACUUCAUUCCUGAAAAAACUAUGUCUUUUUAAGAUGAUGUUUCUAUUAAAGGAUGUGAAGAAGGAGAAAAAGAUGAAACUUUAGAUGAGAGAGGGUGUUGCAAAUAUGUUGUUGAUCAUAUACAAGAUUAUGAAAAGAUUUUAAUUCGA
rnacentral:lncRNA from 1 species